UCCGGUUUGACACCGGCAGUCUCGCUACAGUCCUCGCCAUUACGCGUUAGCAAGUAGCGACAGGGGUUGCGCUCGUUGAGGGACUUAACCCGACACUUCACAGCACGAGCUGACGACAGCCAUGCAGCACCUGUGCACGUUCCGGCCUUGCGGCUGUGGCUCCAGUUUCCUGGAGUUGAUACGUGCAUGUCAAGCUUAGGUAAGGUUCUUCGCGUUGCUUCGAAUUAAGCCACAUGCUCCACCGCUUGUGUGAGCCCCCGUCAAUUCCUUUGAGUUUUAGCCUUGCGACCGUACUCCCCAGGCGGCACACUCAUCAGUUUUCCUUCGGCCGGAAGGGUGUCUAACCUCUCCGACCAAGUGUGCAUCGUUUACAGCGUGGACUA
rnacentral:misc_RNA from 1 species